rnacentral:rRNA from 1 species
UCGGGAAUUUUGGGCAAUGGGCGAAAGCCUGACCCAGCAACGCCGCGUGAGGGAUGAAGUAUUUCGGUAUGUAAACCUCGAAAGAAUGGGAAGAAUAAAUGACGGUACCAUUUAUAAGCUCCGGCUAACUACGUGCCAGCAGCCGCGGUAAUACGUAGGGAGCAAGCGUUGUUCGGAUUUACUGGGCGUAAAGGGCGCGUAGGCGGGAUAAAAAGUCAGUGGUGAAAUCCUACAGCUUAACUGUAGAACUGCCUUUGAUACUUUUAUUCUUGAGUUCGGGAGAGAGAGACGGAAUUCCAGGUGUAGUGGUGAAAUACGUAGAUAUCUGGAAGAACACCAGUUGCGAAGGCGGUCUCUUGGUCCGACACUGACGCUGAGGCGCGAAAGCGUGGGGAGCAAACA